rnacentral:rRNA from 1 species
AUUGAACGCUGGCGGCAUGCCUUACACAUGCAAGUCGAACGGUAACAGGUCUUCGGAUGCUGACGAGUGGCGAACGGGUGAGUAAUACAUCGGAACGUGCCUAGUAGUGGGGGAUAACUACUCGAAAGAGUGGCUAAUACCGCAUGAGAUCUACGGAUGAAAGCAGGGGAUCGCAAGAACUUGUGCUACUAGCGCGGCCGAUGGCAGAUUAGGUAGUUGGUGGGAUAAAAGCGUACCAAGCCGACGAUCUGUAGCUGGUCUGAGAGGACGAUCAGCCACACUGGGACUGAGACACGGGCCAGACUCCUACGGGAGGCAGAAGUGGGGAAUUUUGGACAAUGGGCGAAAGCCUGAUCCAGCAAUGCCGCGUGCAGGAUGAAGGCCUUCGGGUUGUAAACUGCUUUUGUACGGAACGAAAAGCCCCGGGUUAAUACCCUGGGGUCAUGACGGUACCGUAAGAAUAAGCACCGGCUAACUACGUGCCAGCAGCCGCCGCCG